rnacentral:rRNA from 1 species
GGGGGGUGCAAGCGUUGUUCGGAAUUAUUGGGCGUAAAGAGCGUGUAGGCGGUUUGUUAAGUCUGAUGUGAAAGCCCUGGGCUCAACCCAGGAAGUGCAUUGGAAACUGGCAGACUUGAAUACGGGAGAGGGUAGUGGAAUUCCUAGUGUAGGAGUGAAAUCCGUAGAUAUUAGGAGGAACACCGGUGGCGAAGGCGGCUACCUGGACCGAUAUUGACGCUGAGACGCGAAAGCGUGGGUAGCAAACAGGAUUAGAUACCCUGGUAGUCCACGCCGUAAACGAUGAGAACUAGGUGUUGCGGGUAUUGACCCCUGCAGUGCCGCAGCUAACGCAUUAAGUUCUCCGCCUGGGAAGUACGGUCGCAAGACUA